rnacentral:rRNA from 1 species
AUUGAACGCUGGCGGCAGGCCUAACACAUGCAAGUCGGACGAGUGGCGGACGGGUGAGUAAUGUCUGGGAAAGUGCCCGAUGGAGGGGGAUAACUACUGGAAAGGGUGGCUAAUACCGCAUAACAUCGGAGGUGCCCAGAUGGGAUGAGCUAGUAGGUGGGGUAACGGCUCACCUAGGCGACGAUCCCUAGCUGGUCUGAGAGGAUGACCAGCCACACUGGAACUGAGACACGGUCCAGACUCCUACGGGAGGCAGCAGUGGGGAAUAUUGCACAAUGGGCGCAAGCCUGAUGCAGCCCUGCCGCGUGAAUGAAGAAGGCCUUCGGGUUUGAAAGUUCUUUCGGUAGCGAGGCGUUAACUACAGAAGAAGCACCGGCUAACUCCGUGCCAGCCGCCGCGGUAAUAC